ACACAUUGGACCUGAAUGCUCCAAACCCUGAUGGUCUGACCGCACUGAUGCUGUCUGUGAGGGACGUGGACCUGAUGCAGGUCCUGGUGGAGAACAGGCUGUCUUCACCAUGGCAACCCCGGCAUGGGGAGGUGGUCCGGGAGCUGCUGCUGCUCUCUGUGGAUGUGUGUAUCCAUGACAACAGAGGCUGGUCGGCUCUGGACUACGCUCUGAACAUCAAUGGCCCCCAGAAAGAUGACAUCGUACAUAUGCUUCUGAAGGUCCUCACAAAAACAGAGAGUUCUCCUGGGCCAUGCCUCCCCCUGGACCGGCACAGUUCCUCGGAGCUACGAUCGGAGCGUGAGGGUUCCGGCCCCGAGG
ensembl:lncRNA